GACGAACGCUGGCGGCGUGCUUAACACAUGCAAGUCGUACGGCAAGGCCCUUUCGGGGGUACACGAGUGGCGAACGGGUGAGUAACACGUGAGUAACCUGCCCACAACUUUGGGAUAACGCUAGGAAACUGGGGCUAAUACUGGAUAUGUGCUCCUGCUGCAUGGGGGGGGUUGGAAAGCUCCGGCGGUUGUGGAUGGACUCGCGGCCUAUCAGCGUGUUGGUGGGGUAGUGGCCUACCAAGGCGGCGACGGGUAGCCGGCCUGGGAGGGUGACCGGCCACCUUGGGACUGAGAUACGGCCCAGACUCCUACGGGGGGCAGCAGUGGGGAAUAUUGCACCAUGGGCGCAAGCCUGAUGCAGCAACGCCGCGUGCGGGAUGGCGGCCUUCUGGUUGUAAACCGCUUUCAGCAGGGACGAAGCUUUUUGUGACGGUACCUGCAGAAGAAGCACCGGCUAACUACGUG
rnacentral:rRNA from 1 species